rnacentral:rRNA from 1 species
UACGGAGGAUCCAAGCGUUAUCCGGAUUUAUUGGGUUUAAAGGGUGCGUAGGCGGCUUAUUAAGUCAGGGGUGAAAGACGGUGGCUCAACCAUCGCAGUGCCUUUGAUACUGAUGAGCUUGAAUGAACUAGAGGUAGGCGGAAUGUGACAAGUAGCGGUGAAAAUGCAUAGAUAUGUCACAGAACACCGAUUGCGAAGGCAGCUUACUAUGGUUUUAUUGACGCUGAGGCACGAAAGCGUGGGGAGUCAAACAGGA